rnacentral:lncRNA from 10 species
GGCAACUCCCUUUGGGUCUCCUCUCAUUGUAUGGGAGCUCUGUUUUCACUCUAUUAAAUCUUGCAACUGCACACUCUUCUGGUCUGUGUUUGUUAUGGCUUGAGCUGAGCUUUUGCUGGCUGUCCACCACUGCUGUUUGCUGCCGUCGCAGACCCCUUGCUGACUCCCACCCCUGCGGAUCUGGCAGGGUGUCUGCUGCGCUCCUGAUCCAGCCAGGCACCCACUGCUGCUCCCAAUCAGGCUAAAGGCUUGCCAUUGUUCCUGCAUGGCUAAGUGCCCGGGUUCGUGCUAAUUGAGCUGAACACUAGUCGCUGGGUUCCACAGUUCUCUUCCGUGACCCACAGCUUCUAAUAGAGCUAUAACACUCACUGCAUGGCCCAACAUUCCAUUCCUUGGAAUCUGUGAGGCCAAGAACCCCCGGUCAGAGAACAAGAAGCUUGCCACCAUCUUGGAAGCAGCCCGCCACCAUUUUGGGAGCUCUAAGAACAAGGACCCCCCAGUAACAUUUUGGUGACCACGAAGGGACCUCCAAAGCGACUCAAAGCUGUAAAACUGCAAAUGGUUCCUCAUAUGGAGCCCCAGAUGCAGUCCAUGACUAAGAUCUACCACAGAGCCCUAGACCGGCCUGUUAGCCCAUGCUCCGAUGUUGAUGACAUCAAAGGCACACCUUCCGAGGAAAUCUCAACUGCACGACCCCUACUAAGCCCCAAUUCAGCAGGAAGCAGUUAAGAGCAGUCGUUGGCUAACAUCCCCAAUAGUAUGUGGGUUUUCCUGUUGAGAGGGGGGACUGAGAGACAGGACUAGCUGGAUUUCCUAGGCCAACUAAGAAUCCCUAAGCCUAGUUGGGAAGGUGACCGCAUCCACCUUUAAACACGGGGCUUGCAACUUAGCUCACACCCGACCAAUCAGGUAGUAAAGAGAGCUCACUAAAAUGCUAAUUAGGCAAAAACAAGAGGUAAAGAAAUAGCCAAUCAUCUAUCGCCUGAGAGCACAGUGGGGAGGGACAAUGAUCGGGAUAUAAACCCAGGCAUUCGGGCCGGCAACGGCAACCCCCAUUGCGUCCCCUCCCAUUGUAUGGGAGCUCUGUUUUCAUUCUAUUAAAUCUUGCAACUGCACACUCUUCUGGUCUAUGUUUGUUAUGGCUCGAGCUGAGCUUUCGCUCGCUGUCCACCACUGCUGUUUGCCGCCAUCGCAGACCCACCACUGACUUCCACCUCUGCAGAUCUGGCAGGGUGUCCGCUGUGCUCCUGACCCAGCGAGCCACCCAUUGCUGCUCCCAAUCAGGCUAAAGGCUUGCCAUUGUUCCUGCAUGGCUAAGAGCCCAGGGUUCGUCCUAAUCGAGCUGAACGCUAGUAGCUGGGUUCCACAGUUCUCUUCCGUGACCCACGGCUCCUAAUAGAGCUAUAACACUCACCACAUGGCCCAAGGUUCCAUUCAUUGGAAUCCGUGAGGCCAAGAACCCCCGGUCAGAGAACAAGAAGCUUGCCACCAUCUUGGAAGCUCUAAAAACAGAGACACCCCAGUAACAAUAGAACAGUCCAGAAUUGGUGGAAACAGCAAGGCAAGAAUUUGGAAGCAAAGGAUUCAGAGAUUUAGGGC